AGACGGGGCCCGCACAGCGGUGGAGCAUGUGGUUUAAUUCGACGCAACGCGAAGAACCUUACCUGGACUUGACAUCUGGGGAAUCCCUAUGAAAGUAGGGAGUGCCCUUCGGGAGCCCAAGACAGGUGCUGCAUGGCUGUCGUCAGCUCGUGUCGUGAGAUGUUGGGUUAAGUCCCGCAACGAGCGCAACCCUCGCCUCUAGUUGCCAGCAUUCGGUUGGGCACUCUAGAGGGACUGCCGGCGACAAGUCGGAGGAAGGUGGGAUGACGUCAAAUCAUCAUGCCCCUUAUGACCUGGGCUACACACGUGCUACAAUGGGCGGUACAAAGGGCUGCGAACCCGCGAGGGGGAGCGAAUCCCAAAAAGCCGCUCUCAGUUCGGAUUGCAGGCUGCAACUCGCCUGCAUGAAGCCGGAAUCGCUAGUAAUCGCGGAUCAGCAUGCCCGCGGUCGAAUACGUUCCCGGGCCUU
rnacentral:rRNA from 1 species